rnacentral:snRNA from 1 species
CGCUGUGCUAUCGCUCCGGCUGCGACAUCUGUCACCCCAUUGAUCGCCAGGGUUGAUUCGGCUGAUCUGGCUGGCUAGGGGGGUGUCCCCUUCCUCCCUCACCACUCCAUGUGCGUCCCUCCCGAAGCUGCGCGCUCGGUCGAAGAGGACGGCCUUCCCCGAAUAGAGUCGGACCGGUCUUCGGUCGAGGGUAUACGAGUAGCUGCGCUCCCCUGCUAGAACCUCCAAACAAGCUGAAUUCCUUCUUAAAGGACGUCAUGGACACACUUUAGUGUCUGUGGCAUAAUUUAUAUGGAACACCUCAUUU